AGUGAACGCUGGCGGUAGGCCUAACACAUGCAAGUCGAACGACAGCACAGUAAGAGCUUGCUCUUACGGGUGGCGAGUGGCGGACGGGUGAGGAAUACAUCGGAAUCUUCUCUUUCGUGGGGGAUAACGUAGGGAAACUUACGCUAAUACCGCAUACGACCUACGGGUAAAAGCAGGGGAUCUUCGGGCCUUGCGCGAUUGAAUAAGCCGAUGUCGGCUUAGCUCGUUGGCGGGGUAAAGGCCCACCAAGGCGACGAUCCGUAGCUGGUCUGAGAGGAUCAUCAGAUACACUGUAUCAGAGGCAACGUCACGACUCCCACGCUGGGACGCAGCGGCGAAUAUUCCAGAAGGGGCGCAAGCCUGAUCCAGCCAAACCGCGUGAGGGAAGAACGCCUCAGGGUUGGAAAGACCUGUUGUUGGGAAAGAAGAGCAGCUGGUUAAUACACCGAUGUUCUGACGGUACCCAAAGAAUAAGCACCGGCUAACUUCGUG
rnacentral:rRNA from 1 species